rnacentral:rRNA from 1 species
AUUGAACGCUGGCGGCAGGCCUAACACAUGCAAGUCGAGCGGAUGAAGGGAGCUUGCUCCUGGAUUCAGCGGCGGACGGGUGAGUAAUGCCUAGGAAUCUGCCUGGUAGUGGGGGAUAACGUCCGGAAACGGGCGCUAAUACCGCAUACGUCCUGAGGGAGAAAGUGGGGGAUCUUCGGACCUCACGCUAUCAGAUGAGCCUAGGUCGGAUUAGCUAGUUGGUGGGGUAAAGGCCUACCAAGGCGACGAUCCGUAACUGGUCUGAGAGGAUGAUCAGUCACACUGGAACUGAGACACGGUUCAGACUCCUACGGGAGGCAGCAGUGGGGAAUAUUGGACAAUGGGCGAAAGCCUGAUCCAGCCAUGCCGCGUGUGUGAAGAGGGUCUUCGGAUUGUAAAGCACUUUAAGUUGGGAGGAAGGGCAGUAAGUUAAUACCUUGCUGUUUUGACGUUACCAACAGAAUAAGCACCGGCUAACUUCGUG